rnacentral:tRNA from 1 species
GCUGUGGUGAUUCAACGGUAGAAUUCUCACCUUUCGUGUGGGAGACCCAGGUUCAAUUCCCAGUCAACGCA